GACGAACGCUGACGGCGUGCUUAACACAUGCAAGUCGAACGAUGAAGCGGUGCUUGCACCGUGGAUUAGUGGCGAACGGGUGAGUAAUACGUGAGUGACCUACCUUUGACUCUGGGAUAAGCCUGGGAAACUGGGUCUAAUACCGGAUACGACCAAUCUCUGCAUGGGGUGUUGGUGGAAAGCGUUAUGGAGUGGUUUUAGAUGGGCUCACGGCCUAUCAGCUUGUUGGUGAGGUAAUGGCUUACCAAGGCGACGACGGGUAGCCGGCCUGAGAGGGUGACCGGCCACACUGGGACUGAGACACGGCCCAGACUCCUACGGGAGGCAGCAGUGGGGAAUAUUGCACAAUGGGCGCAAGCCUGAUGCAGCGACGCCGCGUGAGGGAUGACGGCCUUCGGGUUGUAAACCUCUGUUAGCAUCGAAGAAGCGA
rnacentral:rRNA from 1 species